CAGUGCUGCCUCUGAUCUAAAAGGAGGUGGAGCUCAGGCAGUAAUGCACUGUAAGUGAUUGGGGAGCAACUGUAAAUACAGAUGAAGCUUCACUUGCUCCCCUGCUGCUCACCUUCUGGUGUGCAGCUUGGUUCCUAACAGGCCAGGAACCAGGAGCA